CGAAAAAAGAGUAGAUUAAAAGCUUCUUAUUUAUUUAAAACCAGAAAUUGAAGGACUUGUCCAGUGCACGGUCAAAUUAUCCAUUUUUACAGACAAAAAAGGAGAAGAUUGACAUUAUAUGGAUAGUAAAGUAUCUUCUGACAAGGUUUCUCAGGAGCUAGCCCGCGAGUUACUUAUCGCAAUAUCUUAUUCUGUGCCAGAUACUGUUGAUCAUGCAUCUAAAAAUAUAGACAGUGCAAAUGGGGUUGCAGUGGCAAAUGCUGAUGGAGCUGAAAAAUAUAGGUCUGAACUGAUUUCUAUAUCCUAUGCACAGUCUCCUGAUGCUGAAGUGCCUCCAGUUGUUGGGAACCAUGUGGAUUAGCGAUGAAUAAAAUUGUAAUGGAAAAUUUUGUUACAGUGGCAUUAGAUGUUUUGUAGAACUUUCUGUUGUGUGAUUUUGCUCCUUAUGUUGGGUUAUUUUGCAUGUGAUUCUCUCUAUGGCAGUGUAAAUAAGGGAACAUAUUUCUGUACAGACCAUGUUGUGAUCAAAGUGAAAGAUGUAUUUUCUUUACUUGACAGAAUUUAUGUACUUUUCCAGUCUCU